UGGGGAAUAUUGCACAAUGGGCGCAAGCCUGAUGCAGCGACGCCGCGUGGGGGAUGACGGCCUUCGGGUUGUAAACUCCUUUCGCUAGGGACGAAGCUUUUUGUGACGGUACCUAGAUAAGAAGCACCGGCUAACUACGUGCCAGCAGCCGCGGUAAUACGUAGGGUGCGAGCGUUGUCCGGAAUUACUGGGCGUAAAGGGCUCGUAGGUGGUUUGUCGCGUCGUCUGUGAAAUUCCGGGGCUUAACUCCGGGCGUGCAGGCGAUACAGGCAUAACGUGAGUACUGUAGGGGUAACUGGAAUUCCUGGUGUAGCGGUGAAAUGCGCAGAUAUCAGGAGGAACACCGAUGGCGAAGGCAGGUUACUGGGCAGUUACUGACGCUGAGGAGCGAAAGCAUGGGUAGCGAACAGG
rnacentral:rRNA from 1 species